CUUCUUGCACUCUCUCUGCAGUCGCCACAUAUUGGAUUAUUUGAACCGAAGUUGCAGAACGAACAAUUCCAGUUCAUCUUUCCUUUCUUCCUACUUUCAUUGCUUGAGUGACACCAUUUCAGUGGUUCAUUGGUAUGGAAUAUUUUUGCCCAAAAGAGUAUAUAAAUUGUUAGCAUAUUACAGGAUAGUUUUGUCCCUCAGGGGGGUUUGAGUGACACCCAAAAAAAAAAGAAAUAAAUUGUUUGUGUGUGUAUUGUUCUCCCACAUAGGCCAACCUAAAGGGAAAUAGAUUGAUAUGCCAAUGAUAGUAAAUUAGUAAUUCUUCGGACGGAUUAACCUGUCCCAACUCAACCAAACAAUUAUAAAGCUAAAAGUAGAUAAGUUAAUAGAAACAAACUAUAAAUAAGAUGCAGUAAAAUAAAAAAGAAAAUUUAUAGUGGUUCAGCACUAAAAUCGACGUCCACUACCCAAAAGUCUUUCUUCUUAACUGGAAUCUAAGAAGCUAAAUUCCUUUAACCUUUGACAAUUGUAACGCAAACUGAUUGAUAUAAACCUGUUCAAAGAUACCAAAGUGAGUCCCUUCCUUCCAUUUGCCUUUCGUCAGCAUGUUUCAACUUGUCGAGAAUUUACUGUUUAUAAAAAAAAGUACAAAUUGAUUAACGGAAACCUACUCAAAUAAAAUCCACAAAAAAACAUAAACAAUUUGAUUGUAAAAAAAAAAGACACAAUUUUAUGUAAGCAAUGAAGAGGAAGGGGAUUAAGCUCCAAAAACCAAGUCCAACCCAAUCUCAUGAAACAAAAGCUGGUAAUACACAUAGUAAGGGGCUGCAAGGGCGGUGGGCUGGAGCCUGGAGGAAGGAGGGAUGGUGUCUAGGAGAUGAGAGAUAUUUACCUUGAUUCUUGAUUUGUGCCGCAAGGUGUAAGCAAGUGAAGGGGAGAAGUUGGUUCGGUAUUUGGAAGAGCAGGGGAGAGAGGGAUAAUUAGAAGAGAGCAAUGAUUGAAAAUGAGAGCAAGGAAGAAAGAGAGAGAGAGAAGGCAAUGCAAGGAGUGUCCACCGAUUCACCGAGCCUUGUCUG
rnacentral:lncRNA from 1 species